GGCACCCAGAGGCGGUCCUGUAGCUGGGCCGGCUUGGGGCUUGGUUCUAUGUCCCUGUGGCUAUGUUUCCAGUGUCCUCUGGGUGUUUCCAAGAGCAACAAGAAACGAAUAAAUCUCUGACGGAGAUUCACUCUUGUUGCCCAGGCUGGAGUGCAAUGGCACAAUUUCGGCUCUCCACAAUCUCUGCCUCCCAGAUUCAAGCUAUUCUCCUGCCUCUGUCUCCCGAGGAGCUGGGAUUACAGAUGAAAGCACCAUUAUCAAGUAAGAAGAGCACAAGUCAAACCACUGUAAGUUGAGGACUCUCUGUACUUUCUUAAAUGUUUGAUAGAAUUCACCUGAGAAAGCAUGUAGCCUGUAAUUAUAGAAAUCUUUUUAAAUUAAAAAAAUUCUUCAAUACAUAGAGAAGCUAUUACUUUUUCUAUUUCAUUUUGCAUUAGUUUUAAGAAUUAGUUUUACAAAUAAUUUCCCAUGUUAUUUUAAUUGUCAAAUGUAUUGGCCUAAAGUUUUCAUAAUUAUAUUGAUGUCUGUAGGUUCUGUAGUUACAUCCUCUAUUUAAUUCCCAUUAUCUACAUUAUGUAGCUUCUCUAAUUUUUUUCGAGAUAAAUCUUGCUAGCCAUUGUUUAUUAAAAAAAUUUUUUUCAAAGAACCAAUUUGUGGGUAUAUUAAUUAGCUCCACCUUUUGUUAUUUGCUAUGUUGUUGGUUUACAUUUUUAUCUUUAUCAUCUUCCUUCUUCUUAAUUUGGAUAUACUUUGCUUAUUUUUUAGCCUCUUAAAAAAGAACUUAAAGGUCAUUGAUUGAAGCCUUUUAUUUUCAAUAUAUUACAUCUAUAAAUGUACCUUUAAGAAACGAUUUAUCUGCAUCCCACAUUUUAUUAAGUUUUUAAAAAAUUUUAUUUCAGUUUAAACUAUUUUUUUUGUGUGUGAAACUUUUCUUGGCCAAUGGGUUUUUCUGAAGUAUUUUGUUUAAUGUUCAAAUGUUGGGGUGUUAUUGUACAUAUCCUACUGUUGUCCAUCUCUGGUUCAUGAUACAAUGCAUGUUCUCCAUUGCACUUAGAUAACAUGCCUCCAUGUCUCUGGAGAAUUCCUCAGUCUUUCUAAAAUGCUUUUGAUGAAUACUGGCCGUUAUUUUGUAGAAUGUCCUGCCUCAAUUUCAGUUAGUCUGAUGUUUUCUCACGGUUAGGACUAAAGUUAUACAUUUUGUCUAAGAAUACCAUAGAAUUGAUGUUUUGUCCUACUCAGUGCAUCAUAUAAGAAAUUACAUGAAGUUCAUUUAUCUUAUUAUUAGUAAUGUUAACUAUGAUCACUUGGCUAAGUUGACAUCUCCACUUUGAAGUUACUAUUCUAUAAUUAUCUUGUGGGAAGAUACUUUCAUAUUAUGCAAAUAUGUUCUUUCCCAACAUAUAUUCACCACUAAUCUUAGCAUUCCUCCAAGGUUCUUUCUUGCAACAAUUAUUACUAUGAUAUUUGCAAAGUGAUGAUUCUUAUAUUUUAUGUCUCCUACAUUUAAUGAAAUCUUACUGUAAUAAAAUACUACCCACUCUCAAUCUUUGGUUUAUUAUUUAUGUCAAUAUGGAUUUUUUUUUUGAGUUGGAGUCUUGUUUUGUCAUCCAGGCUGGUGUGCAAUGGUGCGAUUUCCGCUCACUGCACUUCCACCUUCCGGGAUUCAAGCCAUUCUCCUGCCUCAGCCUCCGGAGUAGCUGGGACUACAGUCAUGUGCCACCAUGCCCGGCUAAUUUUUGUAUUUUCAGUAGAGGCAGGGAUUCACCACAUUGGUCAGGCUGGUCUUGAACUCCUGACCUCAAGUGAUCUGCCCGCCUCUGCCUCCCAAAGGGCUGGGAAUACAGGCAUGAGCAACUGCACCUGGCCUGGAUUAAUUGAAAAUUUUCUCCUGUAGAUUGUAAUAUAUUAUUAUUGUUAUCUAUUUUAUUGCCCCAAUUUUCUCAAAUUUGGCUAUGGAAGUUUAUUCAAAGUGGAUCUGUUUCCCUUUCACAUUUUCCCCAUUUUGUGAGCAUUUCCUUACUUCCUAACAUGACAAAAUAUUUCAAACUAAUCUUGUAUUUUCCCUGCCCAAUCCUGAUAUCAAAUAUGUCCCCAAGGAGCCUUGGUUCCUUUAAUUGGAGAAUGGUGUUCUCAUUGUUACUGGGAUGAUGUUGUUUCUAGGCCCUUUUGUUAGAGGAGCUAGAAAAUAUAUGUAUGUAUACUCACACAUUUAUACACAUCUGUACUUAUUUAUACAAUUAUCCAUCUGUACGUAUACUAAAAACAAUGAUUUCAUGAAACUUUUGAUCCCAAUCCAACACUAGAUAAAGACUAUAUAGGCCCAUUUAUUUGCAAAUCAGCACAUAAACAUAGAAGAAUUAUUAACAAUAUAAGCUGUAGCUUAUGCUAAAUGUUGGUUGGAACAGACAAUAAGUUAUGGAGAACUUCAGAGGACACUAAGGUUGGAUGGGAUUUUGGAAGUUGUACAGGUCAAUGCCACUCCAUCUAUUGGCGAGUUUCACUAGGUUAAUACAUGAACAACAACAAAAAUAACCUAGAUCAGAAGUUAAAGGUCAUUUUAUUGACUAUCUGCCGUGUCUGUGCCAUUGCAGUGUACUAGGUGCACUUACGAGUCCUCUACUUACAAACUGCUUUUCACAAAAUAUGAAACUCCAGGCAAAGGUUCAGACAUAUGACGUUUGUUUUUAAAAUCUUUCUACAGCCUUGUAUCCUUUUUCCUUUCCUUCCUUUUACCCUUUUUAAAAUGUGUUAUGAGUUUUAUCUUAGACUAACAUCAUCUGUAAUGUUGCUAUACGCCAGUAUUCAGUUGCUGUGUUUGAUGAAUCAUAAAAUGGUGUAAAACUUCAAUUAAUGUACUUUUUAAAUAAAGUAUCUAUGAAUGCAUCCAGCAAAAUGUUUAUGAUUUGAGUAUUCACACAAUAUUACUUUUCUCUGGAUCUAACAAUAAUGUGAAAACGCAAAAUGAAUAUAAAAUAUUAGCUAAUAAUAGAUUUCAAAGUAUUGUACAAGUAUGAAAAAUAUAUGAUAUUGUUACUUUCAUAUAUGUAAAACAUUAAUAAUUUUUGUCAACAUAAACAUCAUCUUUACACCUAAACUUGUAUUAAUUCAAUUAAGA
rnacentral:lncRNA from 1 species